rnacentral:rRNA from 1 species
AUUGAACGCUGGCGGCAGGCCUAACACAUGCAAGUCGAGCGGGGGUAGCAAUACCCUAGCGGCGGACGGGUGAGGAAUGCAUCGGAACGUGCCGUGUAGUGGGGGAUAACACAGCGAAAGUUGUGCUAAUACCGCAUACGCCCCGAGGGGGAAAGUGGGGGACCGCAAGGCCUCACGCUAUAUGAGCGGCCGAUGCCCGAUUAGCUAGUUGGUGAGGUAACGGCUCACCAAGGCGACGAUCGGUAGCUGGUCUGAGAGGAUGAUCAGCCACACUGGAACUGAGACACGGUCCAGACUCCUACGGGAGGCAGCAGUGGGGAAUAUUGGACAAUGGGGGCAACCCUGAUCCAGCCAUGCCGCGUGAGUGAAGAAGGCCCUCGGGUUGUAAAGCUCUUUAAGCGGGGAGGAAGGUCGUACAGUUAAUACCUGUGCGAAUUGACGUUACCUGCAGAAUAAGCACCGGCUAACUCUGUGCCAGCAGCCGCGGUAAUACAGAGGGU